GGUGAGAUGGCCGAGUGGUUAUGGCGCUGCGUUCAGGCAUCAGUCCGAACAAAACUUCGCAGUGGAGCAAUCCGCGUGGGUUCGAGUCCCACUCUCAUCA